rnacentral:rRNA from 1 species
AGCGCAGGUGGUUGUAUAAGUCUGAAGUAAAAGGCAGUGGCUCAACCAUUGUGUGCUUUGGAAACUGUACAACUUGAGUGCAGAAGGGGAGAGUGGAAUUCCAUGUGUAGCAGUGAAAUGCGUAGAUAUAUGGAGGAACACCGGUGGCGAAAGCGGCUCUCUGGUCUGUAACUGACACUGAGGCUCGAAAGGCGUGGGAGCAAACA